rnacentral:rRNA from 1 species
GAGCGUUAAUCGGAAUUACUGGGCGUAAAGCGCGCGUAGGUGGAUUGGUCAGUCAGAUGUGAAAGCACAGGGCUCAACCUUGGAACUGCAUCUGAUACUGCUAGUCUAGAAUACAGUAGAGGGUAGUGGAAUUUCCUGCGUAGCGGUGAAAUGCGUAGAUAUAGGAAGGAACACCAGUGGCGAAGGCGACUACCUGGACUGAUAUUGACACUGAGGUGCGAAAGCGUGGGGAGCAAACAGGAUUAGAUCCCCUGGUAGUCCACGCCGUAAACGAUGUCUACUAGCCGUUGGAAGACUUGAUCUUUUAGUGGCGAAGCUAACGCGAUAAGUAGACCGCCUGGGGAGUACGGCCGCAAGGUUAAAACUCAAAUGAAUUGACGGGGGCCCGCACAAGCGGUGGAGCAUGUGGUUUAAUUCGACGCAACGCGAAGAACCUUCCCAUCUCUUGACAUCCAGAGAAGAGGCUAGAGAUAGCUUUGUGCCUUCGGGAACUCUGAGACAGGUGCUGCAUGGCUGUCGUCAGCUCGUGUUGUGAAAUGUUGGGUUAAGUGCCGUACACGAGUCGCAACGCCUUGUCCUUAUUGACCACCACGUAAUGGUGGGAACUCUAAGGAGACUGCCGGUGACAACCCGGAGGAAGGUGGGGACGACGUCAAGUCAUCAUGUCCCUUACGAGUUGGGCUACACACGUGAUACAAUGGCCGGUUCAGAGGGCUGCAAACCUGCGAAGGUAAGCUAAUCUCACAAAAUCGGUCGUAGUCCGGAUAGGAGUCUGCAACUCGACUCCAUGAAGUCGGCAUCGGUCGUAAUCGUGGAUCAGAAUGCCACGGUGAAUACGU